rnacentral:rRNA from 1 species
AGUGGGGAAUCUUAGACAAUGGGCGCAAGCCUGAUCUAGCCAUGCCGCGUGAGCGAUGAAGGCCUUAGGGUUGUAAAGCUCUUUCAGUGGGGAAGAUAAUGACUGUACCCACAGAAGAAGCCCCGGCUAACUCCGUGCCAGCAGCCGCGGUAAUACGGAGGGGGCUAGCGUUGUUCGGAAUUACUGGGCGUAAAGCGCACGUAGGCGGACUGGAAAGUCAGGGGUGAAAUCCCGGGGCUCAACCCCGGAACUGCCUUUGAAACUCCCGGUCUUGAGGUCGAGAGAGGUGAGUGGAAUUCCGAGUGUAGAGGUGAAAUUCGUAGAUAUUCGGAGGAACACCAGUGGCGAAGGCGGCUCACUGGCUCGAUACUGACGCUGAGGUGCGAAAGCGUGGGGAGCAAA